AAUAUAUAAAUUAAAAAGAAUGAAAAGAAUACUUCACCUCAGACCUCAGCCUUUCAUCCUUCAGCUGAAUGGAAUAUUUGGAUCUCACCUAUGAGCUCAAUAAGAAAAGAAAAACACAAAUGACUGAAAGCAGGACUUCAGCAGCCCUGAGAAAUCAUGGACGGGAAUCCACCUUUGUUUACUACAAAACACCCUGCUUCACGGUUUCUCAUUGUGCUACCUUCCUUCGGGGGAACCCCAGGAUUUCACAGGCUGAUAUCCCCAGCUACAUCCAAGUUUCCAGAAAUGAGGAUCCAUAGGCACAAAGUGAGGUGUCCCCAACCCUCCCUUUUUACAGCCCAUGCCUGAUAUUUAUCGGAACGUCCACAAGGCGAUGGUGAACGGUGGCCAAAUGAGAAGCUCAGUGUCUGGGAAAAUGAUUGAAAAUGGCCAAGUGCCACAGUGAGAGUUGUUUGUUCUGGGAAUGGAAGGAGGAAAUUGUCAGAGGAAGUGAAAUAGGAAAUGAAGAGAUCAAAGGGAGGAGGAAAUAAGAUUGAAUUGAGCCCUUUUUGGAUUCAACUUUGCACUCUUAACCCAUGUGAGGCAAAAAGAUUAGCCUUUAAACAGCUGGAGUUGGGGAGAAACACUUUCCAACGGGUGCAUCCUGGCGACUGUUAGCUCCCACAUCCCACCCCACAAAUGGACUGCAGCAGGGGAGCUGAGGGAAGCCAGAUCCGUUUCCUACAGAAAAUCCAGUGGUUUCUGAUGGCAGGAGGGAGGCGGUCUAUCUUCACUGCGGAUGGCGAGGUGCCUUUUGGAGGAGGAGGAUGGAGAGAAAGGGUCUCCAACAGCGAACCUUUGUCCUGCAAUGCAAAUGAACCUCUGCAAAACAGGGCGCAGACAAUGCCAGCCUAGUCCUCUGCGCGAAGCGAUCCAUCUGCAGCUAUUUUGUUAACCUGAUGUUUCUUACAUUCUUUCUCUCAUACAAAAUACUUGAUUUUGACAGCUGUGAAUUUUAAACAACCAUUCUGUGUAUGUUUUUCUAAUUUUGUGUAUUCAGAUUGUUUCUCCAUAUUGGGGGGGUUGGAAGCCAAGUACUUUACAUUCCUUCGUUUAGAGAUUUCAUGCUUUUCGAAAGUCGUGGCGGUUCUGAUCGCUAAACAAAGUAGAAAUGAAGUGUGCUCACCAGCAGCAUUGGAAUGACCGGGGAGUGCAGAAGCACUUUUGAAAUAAAAAAGGUUGCACAAGCGGACUGGAGGCAGGGCUCAGGAGUGACACAUCACUCAGUCACACUCUGGUGGCCCCAGGAAGCUGCGUCUGCCCUCACUUACCUGUAAAAUGGGGCUGCAACAACAUUCUCA
rnacentral:lncRNA from 1 species